UACGGAGGGUGCAAGCGUUAUCCGGAUUCACUGGGUUUAAAGGGUGCGUAGGUGGGCAGGUAAGUCAGUGGUGAAAUCUCCGGGCUUAACCCGGAACUGCCGUUGAUACUAUUUGUCUUGAAUAUUGUGGAGGUAAGCGGAAUAUGUCAUGUAGCGGUGAAAUGCUUAGAUAUGACAUAGAACACCAAUUGCGAAGGCAGCUUACUACACAAUGAUUGACACUGAGGCACGAAAGCGUGGGGAUCAAACAGG
rnacentral:rRNA from 1 species